rnacentral:rRNA from 1 species
UACGUAGGGACCAAGCGUUGUUCGGAUUUACUGGGCGUAAAGGGCGCGUAGGCGGCUUGUCAAGUCACCUGUGAAAUCUCUGGGCUUAACCCAGAACGGCCAAGUGAAACUGACAUGCUAGAGUGCAGAAGGGGCAAUCGGAAUUCUUGGUGUAGCGGUGAAAUGCGUAGAUAUCAAGAGGAACACCUGAGGUGAAGACGGGUUGCUGGGCUGACACUGACGCUGAGGCGCGAAAGCCAGGGGAGCAAACGGG